UGUGGUAUUUGGCAAUGGUAGAACUCACACUGGUGAGGUACGUGGAUCCGGUGGUUCUAGACUUGCCAACUACUGCC
rfam:Scleropages formosus scaffold3541, whole genome shotgun sequence.